GAUGAACGCUGGCGGCGUGCCUAAUACAUGCAAGUCGAACGCAGUGGGGACGGGUGAGUAACACGUGGGUAACCUCCCAUCAGAGGGGAUAACACUUGGAAACAGGUGCUAAACCGAUACUGAUGGAUGGACCCGCGUGGGAUUAGCUAGUUGGUGGGGUAGCGGCUCACCAAGGCCACGAUGCAUAGCCGGUCUGAGAGGGUGAUCGGCCACACUGGGACUGAGACACGGCCCAGACUCCUACGGGAGGCAGCAGUGGGGAAUCUUCGGCAAUGGACGAAAGUCUGACCGAGCAACGCCGCGUGUAUGAAGAAGGUUUUCGGAUCGUAAAACUCUGUUGGUAGAGAAGCGGUAUCUAACCAGAAAGCCACGGCUAACUACGUGCCAGCAGCCGCGGUAAUAC
rnacentral:rRNA from 1 species